rnacentral:lncRNA from 13 species
CCUACCUCCAUGGUAACGGCAUCUGGGUGCAGGAACUCUCUAGUGGACACACGUGACUAUCCCUAGGCAACAGUCAGGGAUUUACAUAAAAUCGGUCCAAUUGAUCCUCCUCGGUUGCCUCAUUGGGCAUGCGCCUUUUCUUUUUUUUUUACUGAAAACAACCAAACUGCACAGAAUUCCAGUAGACUAAAACUGAUAUUUCUGGUUCCUUCGUAUUGAAAGAUUGUCAGGUUAUGGGAUUUCUAAACAGCAGACUUUAAUCAUGUCAAUCCCUGAUAUUGCACCGAGUUAUCAAUUGGAGAGCAGUUUUCACUGAUGUGAAUGGAUAAUCUCUCUGGCACCACUAUGAUGGGUUAGGGCAGAAGAGUCCUACUCGCAUGGAUAAGUCUGAGCCUGUUUGUGAGUUUCCAUACAGUCACAGGGGACAGAGAGCCUCAUCCAGCUUCAUACUAGAUAUGGUCAGCUGGAGGGCAGACUGGUCAGAGUGAGAGAGAGCCAGAGGAAGGUGGCUGCCUACCUGGGGAUCCCCUGAGCCCCCUUGUCGGGCCGCUGAAGUUCCAGGCCCCCCAGUCUCCCCGGGUGUGGCAGGGACUGAGAGACACCAAGGCUCACCCCCCCUCUGUAUGAGCCUAAGCAGUAAUGUCUCAGAGAGACAGGCAGGGAGACAAACAGCCUAUACUGUUUAAUGGGGAACUCUGAAUCAUGCGUAUUUUGAUUAACAUUUUGCCAUUCAUGUUUGUAUUGAUAGUGUAAGAAAAUGUCACCUUUCUUGUCCUCCUAACACAUAGGUGUCUGCAGAACAUGAACCACACUAGACAGAUGGGGGACCUGUACGGAGGUCGGUUCCCUGUCCUAACCACCUCAGAGGACUCCCUUUACCUGAAUAUCUACACACCAGUCAAACCUGGGGACCCAAGGAAACUACCAGACUGUUCCACAAGGCCAUCAGUCAGAGUGGAGAACCCCUUGUCUCUAUGUUCAUCCAGGAUGACCCCAAACCUGCUGCACAGCUGGUGGCACAGAGAGCAGGCUGUCUCAGUGAUGACUCUGCAGAGCUCAUGA